rnacentral:rRNA from 1 species
GAAUCUUGGACAAUGGGCGCAAGCCUGAUCCAGCCAUGCCGCGUGAGUGAAGAAGGCCUUAGGGUUGUAAAACUCUUUCGCCGGAGAAGAUAAUGACGGUAUCCGGAGAAGAAGCCCCGGCUAACUUCGUGCCAGCCGCCGCGGUAAUACGACGGGGGCUAGCGUUGUUCGGAAUUACUGUGCGUAAAGCGCACGUAGGCGGGUCUGUAAGUAGGGGGUGAAAUCCCCGGGCUCAACCCGGGGACUGCCUUCUAGACUGCAGGCCUGGAGGUCAGGAGAGGCGAGUGGAAUUCCGAGUGUAGAGGUGAAAUUCGUAGAUAUUCGGAGGAACACCAGUGGCGAAGGCGACUCGCUGGACUGAUACUGACGCUGAGGUGCGAAAGCGUGGGGAGCAAACAGG